rnacentral:rRNA from 1 species
AUUGAACGCUGGCGGCAUGCUUUACACAUGCGAGUCGAACGGUAACAGGUCUUCGGAUGCUGACGAGUGGCGAACGGGUGAGUAAUACAUCGGAACGUGCCUAGUAGUGGGGGAUAACUACUCGAAAGAGUAGCUAAUACCGCAUGAGAUCUACGGAUGAAAGCAGGGGACCUUCGGGCCUUGUGCUACUAGAGCGGCUGAUGGCAGAUUAGGUAGUUGGUGGGGUAAAGGCUUACCAAGCCUGCGAUCUGUAGCUGGUCUGAGAGGACGACCAGCCACACUGGGACUGAGACACGGCCCAGACUCCUACGGGAGGCAGCAGUGGGGAAUGUUGGACAAUGGGCGAAAGCCUGAUCCAGCAAUGCCGCGUGCAGGAUGAAGGCCCUCGGGUUGUAAACUGCUUUUGUACGGAACGAAAAGCCUGGGGCUAAUAUCCCCGGGUCAUGACGGUACCGUAAGAAUAAGCACCGGCUAACUACGUG